GGGGCGGUAGCUCAGCUGGUUAGAGCAGCGGACUCAUAAUCCGUCGGUCCCGGGUUCAAGUCCCGGCCGCCCUACGA
rnacentral:tRNA from 5 species